rnacentral:rRNA from 1 species
GGGUUGUGAGGUUAAGCGACUAAGCGUACACGGUGGAUGCCCUGGCAGUCAGAGGCGAUGAAGGACGUGCUAAUCUGCGAUAAGCGUCGGUAAGGUGAUAUGAACCGUUAUAACCGGCGAUUUCCGAAUGGGGAAACCCAGUGUGUUUCGACACACUAUCAUUAACUGAAUCCAUAGGUUAAUGAGGCGAACCGGGGGAACUGAAACAUCUAAGUACCCCGAGGAAAAGAAAUCAACCGAGAUUCCCCCAGUAGCGGCGAGCGAACGGGGAGCAGCCCAGAGCCUGAAUCAGUGUGUGUGUUAGUGGAAGCGUCUGGAAAGGCGCGCGAUACAGGGUGACAGCCCCGUACACAAAAAUGCACAUAUUGUGAGCUCGAUGAGUAGGGCGGGACACGUGGUAUCCUGUCUGAAUAUGGGGGGACCAUCCUCCAAGGCUAAAUACUCCUGACUGACCGAUAGUGAACCAGUACCGUGAGGGAAAGGCGAAAAGAACCCCGGCGAGGGGAGUGAAAAAGAACCUGAAACCGUGUACGUACAAGCAGUGGGAGCACGCUUCGGCGUGUGACUGCGUACCUUUUGUAUAAUGGGUCAGCGACUUAUAUUCUGUAGCAAGGUUAACCGAAUAGGGGAGCCGAAGGGAAACCGAGUCUUAACUGGGCGUUAAGUUGCAGGGUAUAGACCCGAAACCCGGUGAUCUAGCCAUGGGCAGGUUGAAGGUUGGGUAACACUAACUGGAGGACCGAACCGACUAAUGUUGAAAAAUUAGCGGAUGACUUGUGGCUGGGGGUGAAAGGCCAAUCAAACCGGGAGAUAGCUGGUUCUCCCCGAAAGCUAUUUAGGUAGCGCCUCGUGAAUUCAUCUCCGGGGGUAGAGCACUGUUUCGGCAAGGGGGUCAUCCCGACUUACCAACCCGAUGCAAACUGCGAAUACCGGAGAAUGUUAUCACGGGAGACACACGGCGGGUGCUAACGUCCGUCGUGAAGAGGGAAACAACCCAGACCGCCAGCUAAGGUCCCAAAGUCAUGGUUAAGUGGGAAACGAUGUGGGAAGGCCCAGACAGCCAGGAUGUUGGCUUAGAAGCAGCCAUCAUUUAAAGAAAGCGUAAUAGCUCACUGGUCGAGUCGGCCUGCGCGGAAGAUGUAACGGGGCUAAACCAUGCACCGAAGCUGCGGCAGCGACGCUUAUGCGUUGUUGGGUAGGGGAGCGUUCUGUAAGCCUGUGAAGGUGUGCUGUGAGGCAUGCUGGAGGUAUCAGAAGUGCGAAUGCUGACAUAAGUAACGAUAAAGCGGGUGAAAAGCCCGCUCGCCGGAAGACCAAGGGUUCCUGUCCAACGUUAAUCGGGGCAGGGUGAGUCGACCCCUAAGGCGAGGCCGAAAGGCGUAGUCGAUGGGAAACAGGUUAAUAUUCCUGUACUUGGUGUUACUGCGAAGGGGGGACGGAGAAGGCUAUGUUGACCGGGCGACGGUUGUCCCGGUUUAAGCGUGUAGGCUGGUUUUCCAGGCAAAUCCGGAAAAUCAAGGCUGAGGCGUGAUGACGAGGCACUACGGUGCUGAAGCAACAAAUGCCCUGCUUCCAGGAAAAGCCUCUAAGCAUCAGGUAACAUCAAAUCGUACCCCAAACCGACACAGGUGGUCAGGUAGAGAAUACCAAGGCGCUUGAGAGAACUCGGGUGAAGGAACUAGGCAAAAUGGUGCCGUAACUUCGGGAGAAGGCACGCUGAUAUGUAGGUGAAGCGACUUGCUCGUGGAGCUGAAAUCAGUCGAAGAUACCAGCUGGCUGCAACUGUUUAUUAAAAACACAGCACUGUGCAAACACGAAAGUGGACGUAUACGGUGUGACGCCUGCCCGGUGCCGGAAGGUUAAUUGAUGGGGUCAGCGCAAGCGAAGCUCUUGAUCGAAGCCCCGGUAAACGGCGGCCGUAACUAUAACGGUCCUAAGGUAGCGAAAUUCCUUGUCGGGUAAGUUCCGACCUGCACGAAUGGCGUAAUGAUGGCCAGGCUGUCUCCACCCGAGACUCAGUGAAAUUGAACUCGCUGUGAAGAUGCAGUGUACCCGCGGCAAGACGGAAAGACCCCGUGAACCUUUACUAUAGCUUGACACUGAACAUUGAGCCUUGAUGUGUAGGAUAGGUGGGAGGCUUAGAAGUGUGGACGCCAGUCUGCAUGGAGCCGACCUUGAAAUACCACCCUUUAAUGUUUGAUGUUCUAACGUUGACCCGUAAUCCGGGUUGCGGACAGUGUCUGGUGGGUAGUUUGACUGGGGCGGUCUCCUCCUAAAGAGUAACGGAGGAGCACGAAGGUUGGCUAAUCCUGGUCGGACAUCAGGAGGUUAGUGCAAUGGCAUAAGCCAGCUUGACUGCGAGCGUGACGGCGCGAGCAGGUGCGAAAGCAGGUCAUAGUGAUCCGGUGGUUCUGAAUGGAAGGGCCAUCGCUCAACGGAUAAAAGGUACUCCGGGGAUAACAGGCUGAUACCGCCCAAGAGUUCAUAUCGACGGCGGUGUUUGGCACCUCGAUGUCGGCUCAUCACAUCCUGGGGCUGAAGUAGGUCCCAAGGGUAUGGCUGUUCGCCAUUUAAAGUGGUACGCGAGCUGGGUUUAGAACGUCGUGAGACAGUUCGGUCCCUAUCUGCCGUGGGCGCUGGAGAACUGAGGGGGGCUGCUCCUAGUACGAGAGGACCGGAGUGGACGCAUCACUGGUGUUCGGGUUGUCAUGCCAAUGGCACUGCCCGGUAGCUAAAUGCGGAAGAGAUAAGUGCUGAAAGCAUCUAAGCACGAAACUUGCCCCGAGAUGAGUUCUCCCUGACUCCUUGAGAGUCCUGAAGGAACGUUGAAGACGACGACGUUGAUAGGCCGGGUGUGUAAGCGCAGCGAUGCGUUGAGCUAACCGGUACUAAUGAACCGUGAGGCUUAACCUUACAACGCCGAAG